rnacentral:rRNA from 1 species
GACGAACGCUGGCGGCGCGCCUAACACAUGCAAGUCGAGCGAGAACCAGGGCUUCGGUCCUGGGGACAGCGGCGAACGGGUGAGUAUCACGUGGGUAACCUGCCCUCGGCACCGGGAUAGCCCGGGGAAACUCGGAUUAAUACCGGACAGCCUCACUAGCCCUCGGGCGAGUGAGAAAAGGUGGCUUCGGCUUCCGGCUGAGGAUGGGCCCGCGGCCGAUUAGCUUGUUGGUGGGGUAAUGGCUCACCAAGGCUCCGAUCGGUAGCUGGUCUGAGAGGACGAUCAGCCACACUGGGACUGAGACACGGCCCAGACUCCUACGGGAGGCAGCAGUGGGGAAUCUUGCGCAAUGGGCGAAAGCCUGACGCAGCGACGCCGCGUGCGGGAAGAAGGCCUUCGGGUUGUAAACCGCUUUCAGGAGGGACGAGGCCACUCAGGUUAAUAGCCGAGAGGGUGACGGUACCUCCAGAAGAAGCCCCGGCUAACUACGUGCCAGCAGCCGCCGUAACAC